GUCUUUUUGUUUUAAAUAGAAAGUUUAACCUGGCCCAUUGAAUAAUUUUAAAAGGCUGCGGUAUUUUGACCGUACAAAGGUAGCAUAAUCAUUAGUUUUUUAAUUGAAAACUUGUAUGAAUGGUUGAAUGAAAAAUUAACUUUUUUAAAAAAAAAAUUGAAGUUUAUUUUUUAAUUAAAAAGUUAAAAUUUUUUUAAAAGACGAGAAGACCCUAUAGAGUUUUAUAUUUUUAUGUAUAUUUUAAAAAAAGUUUAUUAUAAAUUUUAUAUUUAAAAAUAUUUUGUUGGGGUGACAAUAAAAUUUAAUUAACUUUUAUUAAUUAAUUACAUUAAUAUAUGAUUUAUUGAUCCAAUAAUAUUGAUUAAAAAUUUAAAUUACCUUAGGGAUAACAGCGUAAUUUUUUUUUAAGUUCAUAUUAAUAAAAAAUUUUGCGACCUCGAUGUUGGAUUAAGAUUUAAUUUUAGGUGCAGCAGUUUAAAAUUUAAGUCUGUUCGACUUUUAAAUUCUU
rnacentral:rRNA from 1 species